rnacentral:rRNA from 1 species
AUAGCGUAUAUUAAAGUUGUUGCAGUUAAAAAGCUCGUAGUUGGAUUUCUGGGAGGGUGCCAAUGUCCGCUCGUUCGCGUGUGCAGCGGCGCCCUUCCAUCCUUCUGUUAACGUUUCUUGGUAUUCAGUUACUGGUUUCGGGCUCAGAUAUUUUACCUUGAGAAAAUUAGAGUGUUUCAGGCAGGCUUGCGCCGGAAUACAUUAGCAUGGAAUAAUAGAAUAGGACUUUAGUCUCCUUUGUUGGUUUGAGGGACUGAAGUAAUGAUUAAUAGGGAUAGUUGGGGGCAUUAGUAUUUAAUUGUCAGAGGUGAAAUUCUCGGAUUUGUUAAAGACUAACUUAUG